CCUACGGGAGGCAGCAGUGGGGAAUAUUGGACAAUGGGGGGAACCCUGAUCCAGCAAUGCCGCGUGUGUGAAGAAGGCCUGCGGGUUGUAAAGCACUUUCAGUGGGGAGGAGGAUUGAUUGGUUAAGAGCUGAUUAAUUGGACGUUACCCACAAAAGCAGCACCGGCUAACUCCGUGCCAGCAGCCGCGGUAAUACGGAGGGUGCAAGCGUUAAUCGGAAUUACUGGGCGUAAAGGGUGCGUAGGUUGUUGUAUAAGUUAGUUGUGAAAUACCAGUGCUUAACAUUGGGGUGUCAACUAGUACUGUAUGACUUGAGUAAAGCAGAGGGUGG
rnacentral:rRNA from 1 species